GGAGGAAUGUGCUGGUGAGAGAAAGACAAGUUUGGUUUGGGACAAAUGAGUGUGAGGGCCCCAGCCUCUUGGCUGGCCAGUGAACACUUCCAAGAACCUUCAUACUUAAUACCUCUAUCACUCCUCCACUCAACAGGUGAGGAAACAUCAGUCCAGUGAGAGUGGCAUGUGUGGGGAGGAGCCCAGGCUUGCUCUGACCUCUCUCUGGGGCCCCCCACUCCAGAAGGUUGGAACAGCAUUCUACAGCAUUCCAGGAUGUGGAGGGGGCAGCAGUGUUUGUGUGCAGAGUGGCGAGGCCGACCUCCGAUGAGCUUCCCGUAGGAAGGGUGCAGUGGGGGGUGCUCACCCUGCCCAGGGAUGCUAUCUGCUCCAGGACUUGUUUAUCAGCCCACGGGGUGAUCGGCAUGACAUCAAUGGAUAUGCCAGGCUGCAGGCUACAGUGCCGAGAAGGAGAAGACGGAGGCGGUGGUGAUGUCACCCAAGGAAUUAAGUAAGCAGGGGAGCUGAUAACAUCGUCCAGCCAGGCUCACUGUGGGCAGGGUGACUCACUGAAGACGGCCUGCGAUCGCCAGGUGAUUGUUGUUGUGCCCAGCCUGUGGGGCUGGGGAGGAGGAAGGGGGGCAGGCCACAGAGCUGUGACAAGUUCCUCACCGAGGCCCCUGCUCAGGGGAGAGACCUCAGUACACAGUGUCCUCCACCUCUGAGCCCGGGGCUGGCUCAGGAAACAGCCCCCCUCUGCCUGUGCGAUUAUCUUUGUCCACAGUGUUUGGUGUGUGUUUGUGGGGUGUGUCAGGUGAUUUUCCUGCCCGAAGCCUGCUGGGUGCUCCAGGUACUAGCGAUUGCUCACAGCAGAGCAGUAGCCCCCUCCCUGGUUGGACAACUGUCUGUGGAGACAACACCGGAUGGCAAACUGCUAACCGCAACCACGUGGCGUCCUUACAGAGGGAACAGCCUGUUCCUCCCGCUGAGGGCACCUGCAGACCUGCCCCAUUCAUGGCUCCCUUCUCCCUCAGUCCCUGCUGAGGGGAUGGUCCCUUCCCACCCUUAAGGGCACCAUGGACUGUUGUCCAAGUUGAGAACUGUCCAACUGCAGGGGGCACCAUUCACUUGGCAGUCUUCGUGCCAGAUGCUAUGGCUGUCCACAGUGGCCCUGCCCCUUCCCUUUUGUAAAUUACUUCUCAGUUCCCUCCUCCACCAGAAUUAUCACACCAAACUUUCCCCCAUGUAUGCUUGCUUCUUUAUCACCUGACACUCUCAUUCAUUCAUUCCACAAAAAAAUUGUGGCGUUUGUGCAAGGUACUAUUCUAGGCAAGGGAACAAGACAGACCCUCCUGGAGCUCAUGGAGUUCAUAUUCU
rnacentral:lncRNA from 1 species